rnacentral:rRNA from 1 species
UGAAUACGAGAUGCUACGGCGUCGAAGCAGUCUAUGUCAUACUUCCAAAAAAAGCUCGCACUGUCAUAAACAAAUAAUGCCUGUACCAUAACCGACACAGGUGGGUAGGUAGAGUAUACUAAGGGGCGCGAGAUAACUCUCUCUAAGGAACUCGGCAAAAUGACUCCGUAACUUCGGGAGAAGGAGUGCCUUAUUUAUAAGGUUGCAAUAACAAGAUCCAAGCAACUGUUUAUCAAAAACACAGGUCUCCGCUAAGUCGUAAGACGAUGUAUGGGGGCUGACGCCUGCCCAGUGCCAGAAGGUUAAAGAAGUUGGUUAGCAUUCGCGAAGCUGAUAACUGAAGCCCUGGUGAACGGCGGCCGUAACAAUAACGGUCCUAAGGUAGCGAAAUUCCUUGUCGGGUAAGUUCCGACCCGCACGAAAGGCGUAAUGAUUUGGAUACUGUCUCGGAGAGGGGCUCGGUGAAAUAGACUUGUCUGUGGAGAUGCGGACUACCUGCACCAGGACAGAAAGACCCUAUGAAGCUUUACUGUAACUUGAGAUUGAAAUUGGACUUUACUUGCGCAGUAUAGGUGGGAGGCGUUGAUAAUAUUCUUGCGGGAUUAUUUGAGCCAUCAGUGAGAUACCACUCUUGUAAUGUUAGAUUUCUAACUUUGUAUCAUUAUCUGUCAAAGGACAGUUUCAGGCGGGCAGUUUGACUGGGGCGGUCGCCUCCUAAACGGUAACGGAGGCGCACAAAGGUUUCCUCUGAACGGGUAGAAAUCGUAUCUAGAGUGUAAAGGCAUAAGGAAGCUUGACUGUGAGACCUACAAGUCGAGCAGGGACGAAAGUCGGUCUUAGUGAUCUGACGGUGCUGAGUGGAAAGGCCGUCACUCAACGGAUAAAAGUUACUCUAGGAUAACAGGCUGAUCUCCCCCAAGAGUUCACAUCGACGGGGAGGUUUGGCACCUCGAUGUCGGCUCAUCGCAUCCUGGGGCGGUAGUACGUCCCAAGGGUUGGGCUGUUCGCCCAUGAAAGCGGUACGCGAGCUGGGUUCAGAACGUCGUGAGACAGUUCGGUCCAUAUCCGGUGUAGGCGUUAGAAUAUUGAGAGGAGCCUUCUUUAGUACGAGAGGACCGAGAAGGACAUACCUCUGGUGUACCAGUUAUCGUGCCAACGGUAAACGCUGGGUAGCUAUGUAUGGAGUGGAUAACCGCUGAAAGCAUCUAAGUGGGAAGCCCACCUCAAGAUAAGUAUUCCC